rnacentral:rRNA from 1 species
UACGUAGGGUGCAAGCGUUGUCCGGAAUUAUUGGACGUAAAGAGCUCGUAGGCGGUUUGUCGCGUCGAAUGUGAAAACCCGGGGCUCAACCCCGGGCCUGCAUUCGAUACGGGCAGACUAGAGUUCGGUAGGGGAGUCUGGAAUUCCUGGUGUAGCGGUGAAAUGCGCAGAUAUCAGGAGGAACACCGGUGGCGAAGGCGGGACUCUGGGCCGAUACUGACGCUGAGGAGCGAAAGCGUGGGGAGCAAACAGG